rnacentral:rRNA from 1 species
AACGAACGCUGGCGGCAGGCUUAACACAUGCAAGUCGAACGGCAGUCUUCGGACUGUAGUGGCGCACGGGUGAGUAACGCGUAACUGACCUACCCCAAAGUCGCGGAUAACGAUUCGAAAGAAUCGCUAAUACGUGAUGUGCUGUCAGAUUGUGUUCUGCCAGUAAAGAUUGAUUGCUUUGGGAUGGGGUUGCGUUCCAUCAGCUAAUUGGUGGGGUAAAGGCCCACCAAGGCGACGACGGAUAGCCGGCCUGAGAGGGUGGCCGGCCACAGGGGCACUGAGACACGAGUCCCACUCCUACGGGAGGCAGCAGUUAGGAAUCUUCCACAAUGGGCGAAAGCCUGAUGGAGCGACGCCGCGUGAGUGAUGAAGGUCUUCGGAUCGUAAACCUCUGAAUCAGGGACGAAAGACACUUCGGUGGGAUGACGGUACCUGAGUAAUAGCACCGGCUAACUCCGUGCCAGCCGCCGCUGUAAAAC